rnacentral:lncRNA from 1 species
CUGACCGUUCAUUCAUUUUAUCUGAAUUUUUUCCCCAAAAUGUAAGAUCAAGAUUUCAUGAUUUUUUUUUUUUUUUUUUUUACAAACAUUAAAUAAUACCGCGAUGCUAGUCCAGAAUAAAUAGUGUUAAAAGUCUAAAAAUCAAUAAACCACACAGAUUUUGCUAAACCCUGAUCGUCCCCUUCCAAGUUUUAACUUUUCUCUUACCGUCACUUUGUGAUUUCCUUUCCACAUCUUUUCCGGCCAGCGGUAAGAAAUGUUCAUUUUCUACUAUUCUUGUUUCUUUCUCUACUAACGAUGGAAUCGAAAGGUGUCUUUUUGCUUUGUGAUUCUGUGGAUUUUCAGAUUUUUUUUCUGUAACAUGCCUUUGAGAAGUAGAAUAAUCCACUUUUCGUCCUUUUUUAUUUUCUUAACGUUUAUUCAGAUCGAAGACUGUUUCUGUGCAGAUCAAUCUUCAAUGUUUCUCUAACUGUUUUUUUUAACUUCGUUAAUAGGGUAUCGAUUCAUACUUUGUUUUAUUCUACUUUACUUCCAUGAUAUGAUGUUUUUAAGCCGUUUUUUUGUCUCAAUGUUGUUUUUACAUUUCUGACAUGAGAUGGCUGAUGGAUAGUUAUAUAUGUUCUCUUUGUUGUUUUGUCAAACAUACUAUAGUUAAAUUUUAUAUCUGACUUCUAUAGAGUAGUUUUUUUAAUGUUUCAUUGAUGCUUCUAAACUUUUAUUAAUGUUUUGAGAGAAAGGUUGUGAUUUAUGAUGGAUUUGAAUGUAAUUUUUUUCGAUAACCAAGUAAAUAAAACUAAUCUCCAGAUUCUUGUUUUCUUUGAUACUCAGGGAAGAAUGAAACAUAAACCCAGCUAGACCCAAUUCCAAAGUUAAUCUAAUAUGUAAAACCCACACUCUCCUUGAUAUGUAACAAGUCCCCUAGGUUUUGAUUCCCAAAUGCAUUACUCAAGGAUAUGCUAUGCUAGAUAUGGAAUUCAUCGAUACAUUGCCGAUUCAAUCAUGCAAAGGUGAAUUACUUUCUUUCAUUUUGCAAAUGUAAAUCUUUAAUUAUCCUCGUAUCUUUCUCAUUCAUUAAUUUGUUCGAAUCAUUUAGGAAAAAAAAUCUAUUAAUUGAUGACAUGUUUUACCGAUUGUCUGAUUCUUCACUUCUUUUAAAUUUAAAUGGUUUGAUCAAAGAACUUUUUAAUGUUACAUUCUGAUUGUAUUUUAUUAAAGAAAUUGUCUUUUUUACUAAAUUAAAUAUCAAAUUUAGAUCAAAAUCGGUAGUUUUGGCAGAUCAAUCAUUCCUUUUCAAAUAUGCUUUUAUUUUUAUUUAUAGAUAGAUUUCAGACUAUUGCAACAACAUAUAUGAUCUUCCAGUAGAACAUGUAAGUUUUAUAUUAUUUUUAUUUAUUUAUGUCUGCAAUGAAAGAUGUUGAGAACGAGGACGGUCCCGCCCCGUUCCGUGCCCUGGUGGUUUUGCCCCAUGCCCCCUGCCCCGGCGAUAUUCCGGGGGGGGUCUCGGGGCAAGGGCAAACCCGGGCGGGUCGCCCUGGUAUUUUAGGUUAAAAAUUAAAAAUAUACUGAGAAUACCAUUACCUCGUGUCCUCGACCCUCGUCCUCUAUUCUAUUUCUAUCUAGGUCUCGGCUCGGGCAGUGCAGCAGUGGGAUUUAGGUUUUGAGAAGUUGGCAACUGGUAUUUCCUUGUUCGGUUGUUCUCUUUCUAUUUCCUUGGCGACUGAUAUUUCCUUGUUCGGUUGUUCUAUUUCUAUCUAUUUUCUUGUUCGGUUGUUCUAUUUCUAUUUCCUUGGCGGUUGGUAUUCUAUUUUUAUCUAUUUCCUUGUUUGGUUGUAAAGAUUUGUUGUAAAGAUCAACUGAAAAUAUCAGUUCAAAAUUAACAUGAUUUUACUGGCUUACUAAAUGUCUGUCUGUCUGGCUACUAAUUUCCUGUUGGUUUACUGAAUGUUUGUUUGUUUCAAACUCAAUUUUACUGGCUUACUGGUUACUGCCUUACUGAUUACUGCAAUACAGAUGGGAGAUCUCACCACUGUUUAAACUGUUUGUUUAUUCCAUAUAUAGACGUCACUUAUGUCUUGUUUUUCUUCUUCUUGUUACUGAUCUAGUCUUCCUUGGUGUGAAUUGGGAAUUUUGAUUCCUUUUCGUUUCAUAAAUAAGGUGCUAACCUCUAGGGUAGCAAGGCUAAUGAAUAUUCAUGCCUUGAUAGGAACUUGCAUGUUCAAUUAAAUUAAUUCUCAAGAAAAAUAACCAUCGUGAUAUGAUAUUAUUUUUCAUUUCAAGAUAUGAAUAGAAUCUGAAUUGUUUGAAAACAAAUCAAAUUCUUUCUUUGGAAUAUAAUUGAAGCAAAGUUAUUUUCUAUAAACGAAUACUCCAGCACAAAUUGAAACAAACUAAUUAUGACUAAUUUGAUAUUUCAGUACACAAACACAAAUGGAUACUUCAACACAAACGAAAGGAACAACAACAACGACUCCGGUCAUUCCAAAGUACAAUUGAUUUAUUACUUAUUAUUUUUUUCAACUAUACAAGUAUACAAAUACAACUCUACAAUUAUUUUUAUUAUUAUUAUUUUAGUUUAUGUCAAAAAAAGGAAGAUGUAAGUGAGAUAAAGAGCAAAUUAAAAUUUGAUGUUUGAAAGAUUUUGAUACUUUUAUGGUCGGUGAUGUUCGCAAAAUUAGAUGCUUGCAUUGUAAAUC